GGGUAUUUUUGACUGUGCGAAGGUAGCGUAAUCAUUUGCUCUUUAAUUGGGGGCUUGAAUGAAUGGCAAGACAGAAGCUAUGCUGUCUUUUCUUUAAUUUCUUGAAUUUAAUAUUGUUGUGAAGAAGCGACAAUAGGGCCGUAGGACGAGAAGACCCUGUCGAGCUUUACUAAAAGCAGUUUUGUUUUAUUAGACUUUAAAGGCUAAUUGUUUUUUACUGGUAACAGGGAUCUUGUGAGUUUACUUUUGAAGCAGGUUAUUGGGAAAUUGUUUUAUUGUUUGGUUGGGGCAACCGCGGAGAACAAGAAUCCUCCGCUCUUUAUGAGGAAAAAGUUACUUCUUUGUUGUAUUGAUAUGUUAAAUAUUGAUUUAAGUAGGAUCCACUGUUUAAGUGAUUAAAGGAAUAAGUUACCGCAGGGAUAACAGCGUUAUUCUCUUGGAGAGUUCAUAUUGAUAAGGGAGUUUGCGACC
rnacentral:rRNA from 1 species